rnacentral:rRNA from 1 species
CCUACGGGUGGCAGCAGUGAGGAAUAUUGGUCAAUGGCCGAGAGGCUGAACCAGCCAAGUCGCGUGAGGGAAGACGGCCCUACGGGUUGUAAACCUCUUUAGCCGGGGAGCAAAGCGAGUCACGUGUGACUCAUUGAGAGGACGCGAAGAGAAAGCAACGGCCAACUCCGGUCCCGCCGCCGCGGUAAUACGGGGGAUGCGAGCGUUAUCGGGAUUUAUUGGGUUGAAAGGGUGCGCAGGCGGAGGUGCAAGUCAGCGGUCAAAUUGCGGGGCUCAACCCCGUACUGCCGUUGAAACUGCAUCCCUUGAGUGCGCGAGAAGGAUGUGGAAUGCGUGGUGUAGCGGUGAAAUGCAUAGAUAUCACGCAGAACUCCGAUUGCGAAGGCAGCAUACCGGCGCGCAACUGACGCUCAGGCACGAAAGCGUGGGUAUCGAACAGGAUUAGAUACCCUUGUAGUC